rnacentral:rRNA from 1 species
GCUGGCGGCAGGCCUAACACAUGCAAGUCGAGCGGUAGAGAGAAGCUUGCUUCUCUUGAGAGCGGCGGACGGGUGAGUAAUGCCUAGGAAUCUGCCUGGUAGUGGGGGAUAACGUUCGGAAACGGACGCUAAUACCGCAUACGUCCUACGGGAGAAAGCAGGGGACCUUCGGGCCUUGCGCUAUCAGAUGAGCCUAGGUCGGAUUAGCUAGUUGGUGGGGUAACGGCUCACCAAGGCGACGAUCCGUAACUGGUCUGAGAGGAUGAUCAGUCACACUGGAACUGAGACACGGUCCAGACUCCUACGGGAGGCAGCAGUGGGGAAUAUUGGACAAUGGGCGAAAGCCUGAUCCAGCCAUGCCGCGUGUGUGAAGAAGGUCUUCGGAUUGUAAAGCACUUUAAGUUGGGAGGAAGGGUUGUAGAUUAAUACUCUGCAAUUUUGACGUUACCGACAGAAUAAGCACCGGCUAACUCUGUGCCAGCAGCCGCGGUAAUACAGAGGGUGCAAGCGUUAAUCGGAAUUACUGGGCGUAAAGCGCGCGUAGGUGGUUAGUUAAGUUGGAUGUGAAAUCCCCGGGCUCAACCUGGGAACUGCAUUCAAAACUGACUGACUAGAGUAUGGUAGAGGGUGGUGGAAUUUCCUGUGUAGCGGUGAAAUGCGUAGAUAUAGGAAGGAACACCAGUGGCGAAGGCGACCACCUGGACUGAUACUGACACUGAGGUGCGAAAGCGUGGGGAGCAAAC